CGCAGUUUUUCUGAAUAUUAGUGUCCAGGGAUGCAUUUCCUGUGAAUCACUUUAUUAACAGGAUAUGAUACCAUUCUUCUUGGUGCAAUUGCACUGUUUUUCAAGGAGAUAAGCAGUGAUUUAUUCUGCUGCAUAAGGAAAAGCAAGCAUUCUUACCCUCACAAUUGUUUAAACUUUCAGAUUUCUCAGUGCAUUGCUUCCCAUCCCACCAAAACUUAUUGGAGAUGUGUUUCCUUGUAACUGAAACUGGGAGGGCACAUACCACAUCAGCAAGUCAAGUGUCUAAGACAGCAGGAUAGCUGAUGUUCAAAAGUACAUUCAGUGACAUAAUGACUUACUGUCAUAAAGAAAACCAAGGAAGUCAUCAGAAGAAUGCAAGGACUCCAGAAGUGUCAGUUUGAAGGCAAAGAAGUCUACGAAACGUCAUUGAGCAUUCUCAAAUUUUUAAAAAGAAUGAGAAGGCAUAGGUUUUGAAUUUAAAAACUUCCAUGCAACUCACGAUUACCAAGUUUAUCAAAGUCACGUGUCAGAUAUUUGCUGUAAGAUAUUUCUGCUAAGCACUAACAUCUGAUGCAGUGCAAUGCUACUGAACAAUCUGAAAAUACGAUUUCAACAAAGUAUAUCUGUGUACAAUAAGGAAUCAAAAUGACCUUUAAAAAUGUGCUAUCAGAUCUCUCUUUUUGUAGCUGAACUUCACACUAGCAGAGUAGGUAUUAUUGAUGCCAAUUUAGAAAUCUAGUCAUGUAUCUACCUCUAUAUUUUUAUUCAGC
rnacentral:lncRNA from 1 species